rnacentral:rRNA from 1 species
AGCGAACGCUGGCGGCAGGCCUAACACAUGCAAGUCGAACGGACCUUUCGGGGUUAGUGGCGGACGGGUGAGUAACACGUGGGAACGUGCCUUUAGGUUCGGAAUAGCUCCUGGAAACGGGUGGUAAUGCCGAAUGUGCCCUUAGGGGGAAAGAUUUAUCGCCUUUAGAGCGGCCCGCGUCUGAUUAGCUAGUUGGUGAGGUAAUGGCUCACCAAGGCUACGAUCAGUAGCUGGUCUGAGAGGAUGACCAGCCACAUUGGGACUGAGACACGGCCCAAACUCCUACGGGAGGCAGCAGUGGGGAAUCUUGCGCAAUGGGCGAAAGCCUGACGCAGCCAUGCCGCGUGGAUGAUGAAGGUCUUAGGAUUGUAAAAUCCUUUCACCGGUGAAGAUAAUGACUGUAGCCGGAGAAGAAGCCCCGGCUAACUUCGUGCCAGCCGCCGCCGUAA